GAUGAACGCUGGCGGCGUGCCUAAUACAUGCAAGUCGAGCGAACGGACGAGAAGCUUGCUUUUCUGAUGUUAGCGGCGGACGGGUGAGUAACACGUGGAUAACCUACCUAUAAGACUGGGAUAACUUCGGGAAACCGGAGCUAAUACCGGAUAAUAUUUUGAACCGCAUGGUUCAAACGUGAAAGACGGUCUUGCUGUCACUCAUAGAUGGAUCCGCGCUGCAUUAGCUAGUUGGUAAGGUAACGGCUUACCAAGGCAACGAUGCAUAGCCGACCUGAGAGGGUGAUCGGCCACACUGGAACUGAGACACGGUCCAGACUCCUACGGGAGGCAGCAGUAGGGAAUCUUCCGCAAUGGGCGAAAGCCUGACGGAGCAACGCCGCGUGAGUGAUGAAGGUCUUCGGAUCGUAAGACUCUGUUAUUAGGGAAGAACAUAUGUGUAAGUAACUGUGCACAUCGUGACGGUACCUAAUCAGAAAGCCACGGCUAACUACGUG
rnacentral:rRNA from 1 species